AUUGAACGCUGGCGGCAUGCUUUACACAUGCAAGUCGAACGGUAACAGGCCGCAAGGUGCUGACGAGUGGCGAACGGGUGAGUAAUGCAUCGGAACGUGCCCAGUCGUGGGGGAUAACUACUCGAAAGAGUAGCUAAUACCGCAUACGAUCUCUGGAUGAAAGCGGGGGACCGUAAGGCCUCGCGCGAUUGGAGCGGCCGGUGUCAGAUUAUGUAGUUUGUGGGGUAAAGGCUCACCAAGCCAACGAUCUGUAGCUGGUCUGAGAGGAGGACAAGCCACAAUGGGACUGAGACACGGCCCAGACUCCUACGGGAGGCAGCAGUGGGGAAUUUUGGACAAUGGGCGCAAGCCUGAUCCAGCAAUGCCGCGUGCAGGAAGAAGGCCUUCGGGUUGUAAACUGCUUUUGUACGGAACGAAACGGCUCUGGUUAAUACCCGGGGCUAAUGACGGUACCGUAAGAAUAAGCACCGGCUAACUACGUG
rnacentral:rRNA from 1 species